UGCAAAGUACUUGUGGGUUUCCUGUCUGCUUGUCCGCAAACUGCCUCCUUAUUUCAUUAGUAUUUAAUGCAACACUUGUUGCUUGUUCUCAGUUACACAUGAAUGGGUAAAAUGGCAUCUUUCACAGUAUUUCUGCCAUCCUUUUACUUGUUUUGGAUCAUCACUCCUUACUUCCUGUUUGCAUUCACUCAUGUCCAUGGACUCCCGAAACCUGAGCUGUUUGUAUCCUCCUCAGUAAUUUUGCCGACAACCACAGUCCAUCUGAGUUGUGUAGUCCCUCAGGAUCCAGUAGAUCAGUGUAUUUUCAUGGUGGGAAAGACAUACACCACCUCUACAUCAUCAUGCGAGCUGACCCUCACAGGAGAACAAAUUAUAGUCCGGGGACAUGUAAACCCACCUUCAGUGCUUCCAGUGAAAUGUUUCUACACUGUAAAAGGGUCUGGUGUUAAUCGUCCCUCUGAUCACUCUUCUCCUGUUUCGGUGCUUGUGCUGGAUAAUUUGCAGAAACCCAAGGUAAGCGUGCAUCAUGACCGAACAAAUAAGCUGUUCGACAUUGUUUGUGAAAUACCCAAGCAGUCCUGGAAUGUCACUGGAUGCCAGUUUUAUACUGGACAUGGGGAGAACUUGUACCCGACAGCUAAAAUAGCAUCUGGAAACUGCCAUUUGUAUUCUGUGGACGAGGAUGAUUUAUUCAGACGUCUGCAGUCAGUGGGGAGCGGAGAGGUGAGCUGUGAUUAUAUAGUGAACACAGAACCUUCAUCUCUCUCUCCACGCAGUGACCCUUACACCAUUCAAGGAUACCAGCCCCCGACCAAAAAUACUCCUUUAAGACCAUCAGAAGCAGUGUCAUGGGGAACAGUGUUGAUCUUGGCGGUGACUAGCCUGUGCAUUGGCCUGGCUGGCGUGUCAGCAAUCUGUCUCAUCUGGACAUGUCGUAUGUGAUAAUCAUGACAUUUCAUUCAUAGAAUAGCUCUAGGAAAACACAUUCAUGCUGAAGGUAACACAUUUGCAACUUUCCUAGGUGUGUUUUAUAGACAACUGGUUUUGUUACCAUCUUAAAAUUCAUUUGAUGCGUUGUGGUCAUAUGAAGGACCGAUAAAGACUCCUGUCAUUCCCACUAUUCGCCCAGGCUAUACACUGUGUAGUUUGGUGGUCUGGGACAGACACGGAUUGACAUUGCCAAUUAUAUCUCCAAAGGUCACCAGCUGGCACAUUAGCAAGCUUUUAUCAGUGUCAGAUGUGCUGUUGUUAGUGUUUACAAGGUUUUUGCAUGCAGCCUAAUUUAUUUUAUAUAUCUGAAAGAUGCAGCCUUAUUUACUCUCUGAUAGGCACAUCUUAUUUUCUCUUUCAGGGAAACAUAAACAUCAGAGUUCAAAGGGUACUCUAGGCAGGACCAGACAGAAGAAUCACCCAGACAUUAUGCCUGCACAUAAUACAGUUAGAGUAAGUACGUUUACUGUCAUUGAUACUCAAUAAAUAGUGAAAUUACAAACUGUGUUUUUCAUCCUUCAGACUGUUAAUGACACUGCUGGAACAUUCUCCAUGACCACCUCCACCUCCCUGACUGUAGCUCCAGAGGUUGACAAAAGGGAAGACAUUUUCUCUGAACAGGAUGAUGUGAGUGCUCUAUGUGCAAAGUACUGUGCUAUGGAUGUAUAGCAAAAAUCAAUAGCUUUUUUAUUCAGAUUAAUUUACGGGGCCAUCAGAUAUGCUUAGCUGUGUUUAUCACUACUGUUGUUGUUAAGUAUUGAUAUGAUGGUUGUAGUGUACCCUGUUGUGUUAUAAUACUUAAGCAACGUUGUUUGGUAUGAGUACUUGGAUG
ensembl:lncRNA